UACGUAGGGACCAAGCGUUGUUCGGAUUUACUGGGCGUAAAGGGCGCGUAGGCGGCAAUUCAAGUCAGCUGUGAAAUCUCCGGGCUUAACUCGGAACGGUCAGCUGAUACUGCUUUGCUAGAGUGCAGGAAGGGGCAAUCGGAAUUCUUGGUGUAGCGGUGAAAUGCGUAGAUAUCGAGAGGAACACCUGCGGCGAAGGCGGGUUGCUGGGCUGAUACUGACGGCUGAGGCGACGGAAAGCCAGGGGAGCGAACGGG
rnacentral:rRNA from 1 species